GUUUUCUUGGUAGCUGCAUUGGUCCAUUCUGUUGGCGAACUUGAAUUUGGACAGCAGAGUGUCAUCUAUUUACCCUCCUUGCUGAAGCGUCUUGAUCGUCUUUUGCAAUUCGACAGGUUGAUGCCAAGUCACAAUGGGAUUUUGACAAUCUGUUGUAUCCAGUCACUUACUCAAAUGGCACUCAAACUAUCAGAAUUCAUUC